GUCAGCCUUUCACUCCUGGCGACCUUAACGAAGAGCAUGUUCCGUGAAGGGGCUGAGGAAAAGCCCAGUUAGUGUGGGCUGAGGAGGAAACGGGGAUCAACCUUCAGACGGAACAAAGCGUCCGCACCCCGAGUUGAGCCCAUGUCUUGUUCCUAAGGCAUCUCAAGCAUCCUGAGAACAGCUACUUCUUCGUCGUCCUUCCAGGAAAACAAUGUCUUUGUGUGUCACAGUGAUUAACAGAGUUUCUCUAAUUGGAUCGAACUGAAAUGCAAUGCUGAGAACGACUCGUGUGGCUCAUUGUGUUGUCUGCAACCAUCGUUCCAUGUGCAUCUUCCGACCACCACCCGUCAUGCAGUUUACAGUCAUUAAUAAAUGUCCUUAUGAUUCACUGCGAUUCAAC